rnacentral:rRNA from 1 species
GCCGGUGACCCCAGCGGAGGGGCCCUACCCGAUCCCAUUCCGAACUCGGUCGUCAAGCCCUCCAGCGCCGAUGGUACUGCACGGGAGACUGUGUGGGAGAGCAGGUCGUCGCCGGCA